rnacentral:rRNA from 1 species
GACGAACGCUGGCGGCGUGCCUAAUACAUGCAAGUAGAACGCUGGAGGAGGAGCUUGCUUCUCUGGAUGAGUUGCGAACGGGUGAGUAACGCGUAGGUAACCUGCCUGGUAGCGGGGGAUAACACUUGGAAACGAUAGCUAAUACCGCAUAAUAGUAGAUGUUGCAUGACAUUUGAUUAAAAGGUGCAAUUGCAUCACUACUAGAUGGACCUUCGUUGUAUUAGUUAGUUGGUGGGGUAACGGCUCACCAAGGCGACGAUACAUAACCGACCUGGGAGGGUGAACGGCCAACCAGGGACUGGAGCACGGCCCAAAAUCCUACGGGGGGCAGCAAUAAGGAAACUUCGGCAAUGGACGGAAGGCUGACCGAGCAACGCCGCGGUGAUGAAGAAGGUUUUCGGAUCGGAAAGCUCUGUUGUAAGAGAAGAACGAGUGUGGGAGGGGAAAGUUCACACUGUGACGGUAUCUUACCAGAAAGGGACGGCUAACUACGUG